rnacentral:lncRNA from 1 species
AGUUGGACAUACUAUAAAAACUAAGUUAAAAUCUUGUAAAAUUUUUAAAUUGCAUUUCUACCUUUAAACAUCUACUGAGUGAGGUAGAGGGCAUGUCUAUUUAAUCAAACCUGGAAUGGCUAAUACAUGUCAAUACUGUGCACCACAGGUAUCAAAACCUAAAAUUCCCGAAACCCUUUCCCUUUAGAUUAGCAAAAUAUGAUUUUAAUCUCCCAACUCUAUAUUGUGUCUUAGACAAAAUUACUAGGCCAUUUUUUUUACAUUUGAUUCUGGAUUUUUUUUUUUAAUGGACCUUGAUUCUAGAUCUUGACACAUCCUAUCCUCAACUUAAUUUCUCUGAGGAUAGAAAAACUGUGUGAUAUGGAAUAAUAAUACCAAACAUUUGUUAUAAACAAAGGAUAUUUUAUUUCUGCCCUGCUGUCCUGGCCUCUUAGAAUCAUAGCUCUUCUUAG